AUAUUUCUUGCCUCUACCAAUU
rnacentral:miRNA from 1 species